UACGUAGGGUGCAAGCGUUAAUCGGAAUUACUGGGCGUAAAGGGCGCGUAGGCGGCCUGCUAAGUCGAACGUGAAAUCCCUGGGCUCAACCCAGGAACUGCGUCCGAUACUGGUUGGCUUGAGACCAGGAGAGGUGAGUGGAAUUCCCAGUGUAGCGGUGAAAUGCGUAGAUAUUGGGAGGAACACCAGUGGCGAAGGCGGCUCACUGGCCCGAUACUGACGCUGAGGUGCGAAAGCGUGGGGAGCAAACAGG
rnacentral:rRNA from 1 species